rnacentral:rRNA from 1 species
CGGGCUUGAAUUGCAGAUGUUUAUAUCAGAGAUGAUAUAUUCCCUUCGGGGCAUUUGUGAAGGUGCUGCAUGGUU